UUCCUUGUGGCUCAGCUGGUAAAGAAUCCGCCUGCAAUGCGGGAGACCUGGGUUCGAUCCCUGGUUUGGGAA
rnacentral:tRNA from 1 species